GGCCUAAUACAUGCAAGUCGAGGGAGAAAUUAGGUGCUUGCACUUGAUGGGAACCGGCGAACGGGUGCGUAACACGUAUGCAACCUACCUAUAACUGGGGGAUAGCCCGAAGAAAUUCGGGUUAAUACCCUAUAAUAUUUAGUCAUCGCAUGAUGAUUAUCUUAAAACUCCGGUGGUUAUAGAUGGGCAUGCGGCCUAUUAGUUUGUUGGUGAGGUAAUGGCUCACCAAGACUACGAUAGGUAGGGGGUCUGAGAGGAUGAUCCCCCACACUGGUACUGAGACACGGACCAGACUCCUACGGGAGGCAGCAGUAGGGAAUAUUGGACAAUGGACGAAAGUCUGAUCCAGCCAUGCCGCGUGCAGGAUGACGGCCCUAUGGGUUGUAAACUGCUUUUAUAUAGGAAGAAACCUUUCCACGUGUGGAAAGCUGACGGUACUAUACGAAUAAGGACCGGCUAACUCCGUGCCAGCAGCCGCGGUAAUACGGAGGGUCCAAGCGUUGUCCGGAUUUAUUGGGUUUAAAGGGUACGUAGGCGGAAUUUUAAGUCAGUGGUGAAAGCCUCCAGCUCAACUGGAGAAUUGCCAUUGAAACUGAAGUUCUUGAAUAUGGAUGAGGUGGUUGGAAUAUAACAUGUAGCGGUGAAAUGCUUAGAUAUGUUAUAGAACACCAAUUGCGAAGGCAGAUCACUAAACCAUUAUUGACGCUGAGGUACGAAAGCGUGGGGAGCGAACAGGAUUAGAUACCCUGGUAGUCCACGCCGUAAACGAUGUUCACUCGCUGUUGGCGAUAUACUGUCAGCGGCCAAGCGAAAGCAUUAAGUGAACCACCUGGGGG
rnacentral:rRNA from 1 species